CCAGACUCGGUUUCUUGGUUCCGUCCCAAAACGCCGAAGAAAGGCACAAUGGCCUAGAAAGGGAUAGUCGGACUUGGAACGGGGUCCGAGGCCUCGAAAGUCCACAUCUAGCUACUGGGUGGUCCGAUUCUGAGUGAUCUCGAACUUUCUUGUCCACAAAAGCCGAACGGUGACGCCCCAGACUCGGUUUCUUGGUUCCGUCCCAAAACGCCGAAGAAAGGCACAAUGGCCUAGAAAGGGACGGUCGGACUUGGAACGGGGUCCGAGGCCUCGAAAGUCCACAUCAAGCUACUGGGUGGUCCGAUUCUGAGUGAUCUCGAAGUUUCUAGCCACAAAAGCCGAACGGUGACGCCCCAGACUCGGUUUUUUGGUUCCGUCCCAAAACGCCGAAGAAAGGCACAAUGGCCUAGAAAGGGACGGUCGGACAUGGAACGGGGUCCGAGGCGUCGAAAGUCCACAUCUAGCUACUGGGUGGUCCGAUUCCGAGUGAUCUCGAAGUUUCUUGCCCACAAAAGCCGAACGGUGCGCCCCAGACUCGGUUUCUUGGUUCCGUCCCGAAACGCCGAAGAAAGGCACAAUGGCCUCGAAAGGGACGGUCGGACUUGGAACGGGGUCUGAGGCCUCGAAAGUCCACAUCUAGCUACUUGGUGGUCCGAUUCUGAGUGAUCUCGAAGUUUCUUGCCCAGAAAAGCCGAACGGUGUCGCCCUAGACUCGGUUUCUUGGUUCCGUCCCAAAACGCCGAAGAAAGGCACAAUGGCCCAGUAAGGGACGGUCGGACUAGGAACGGGGUCCGAGGCCUCGAAAGUCCACAUCUAGCUACUGGGUGGUCCGAUUCUGAGUGAUCUCGAAGUUUCUUGCCCACAAAAGCCGAACGGUGACGCCCCAGACUCGGUUUCUUGGUUUUGUCCCAUAACGCCGAAGAAAGGCACAGUGGCCUAGAAAGGGACGGUCGGACUUGGAACGGGGUCCUAGGCCUCGAAAGUCCACAUCUAGCUACUUGAUGGUCCGAUUCUGAGUGAUCUCGAAGUUUCUUGGCCACAAAAGCCGAACGGUGACGCCCCAGACUCGGUUUCUUGGUUCCGUACCAAAACGCCGAAGAAAGGCACAGUGGCCUAGAAAGGGACGGUCGGACUUGGAACGGGGUCCGAGGCCUCGAAAGUCCACAUCUAGCUACUGGGUGGUCCGAUUCUGAGUUAUCUCGAAGUUUCUUGCGCACAAAAACCAAACGGUGACGCCCCAGACUCGGUUUCUUGGUUCCUUCCGAAAACGCCGAAGAAAGACACAAUGGCCUAGAAAGGGACGGUCGGACUUGGAACGCAGUCCGGGGCCUCGAAAGUCCACAUCUAGCUACUGGGUGGUCCGAUUCUGAGUGAUCUCGAAGUUUCUUGCCCACAAAAGCCGAACGGUGUCGCCCCAGACUCGGUUUCUUGGUUCCGUCCCAAAACGUCGAAGAAAGGCACAUUGGCCUAGAAAGGGACGGUCGGACUUGGAACGGUGUCCGAGGCCUCGAAAGUCCACAUCUAGCUACUCCGUGGUCCGAUUCUGAGUGAUCUCGAAGUUUCUUGCCCACAAAAGGCGAACGGUGACGCCCCAGACUCGGUUUCUUGGUUCCGUCCAAAAACGCCGAAGAAAGGGACAAUGGCCUAGAAAGGGACGGUCGGACUUGGAACGCGGUCCGAGGCCUCGAAAGUCCACAUCUAACUACCGGGUGGUCCGAUUCUGAGUGAUCUCGAAGUUUCUUGCCCACAAAAGCUGAACGGUGACGCCCCAAACUCGGUUUCUUGGUUCCGUCCCAAAACGCCGAAGAAAGGCACAAUUUCCUAGAAAGGGACGAUCGGACUUGGAACGGGUCCGAGGCCUCGAAAGUCCACAUCUAGCUACUGGGUGGUCCGAUUCUGAGUGAUCUCGAAGUUUCUUGCCCACAAAAGCCGAACGGUGACGCCCCAGACUCGGUUUCUUGGUUCCGUCCCAAAACGCUGAAGAAAGGCACAAUGGCCUAGAAAGGGACGGUCGGACUUGGAACGAGGUCCGAGGCCUCGAAAGUACACAUGUAGCUACUGGGUGGUCUGAUUCUUAGUGACCUUGAAGUUUCUUAACCACAAAAGCCGAACGGUGACGCCCCAGACUCGGUUUCUUGGUUCCCUCCCAAAACGCCGAAGAAAGGCACAAUGGCCUAGAAAGGGACGGUCGGACUUGGAACGGGGUCCGAAGCCUCGAAAGUCCACAUGUAGCUACUGGGUGGUCCGAUUCUUUGUGAUCUCGAAGUUUCUUGACCACAAAAGCCGAACGGUGACGCCCAGACUCGGUUUCUUGGUUCCGUCCCAAAACGCCGAAGAAAAGCACAAUGGCCUAGAAAGGGACGGUCGGACUUGGAACGGGGUCCGAGGCCUCGAAAGUCCACAUCUAGCUACUGGGUGGUCUGAUUCUUUGUGAUCUCGAAGUUUCUUGCCCACAAAAGCCGAACGGUGACGCCCAGACUCGGUUUCUUAGUUCCGUCCCAAAACGCCGAAGAAAGGCACAAUUUCCUAGAAAGGGACGGUCGGACUUGGAACGGGGUCCGAGGCCUCGAAAGUCCAUAUCUAGCUACUGGGUGGUCCGAUUCUGAGUGAUCUCGAAGUUUCUUGCCCACAAAAGCCGAACGGUGACGCCCGAGACUCGGUUUCUUGGUUCCGUCCCAAAACGCCGAAGAAAAGCACAAUGGCCUAGAAAGGGACGGUCGGACUUGGAACGGGGUCCGAGGCCUCGAAAGUCCACAUCUAGCUACUGGGUGGUCUGAUUCUUUGUGAUCUCGAAGUUUCUUGCCCACAAAAGCCGAACGGUGACGCCCCAGACUCGGUUUCUUGGUUCCGUCCCAAAACGCCGAAGAAAGGCACAAUGGACUAGAAAGAGACGGUCGGACUUGGAACGGGGUCCGAGGCCUCAAAAGUCCACAUCUAGCUACUGGGUGGUCCGAUUCUUUGUGAUCUCGAAGUUUCUUGCCCACAAAAGCCGAACGGUGACGCCCCAGACUCGGUUUCUUGGUUCCGUCACAAAACGCCGAAGAAAGGCACAAUGGCCUAGAAAGGGACGGUCGGACUUGGAACGGGGUCCGAGGCCUCGAAAGUCCACAUCUAGCUACUGGGUGGUCCGAUUCUUUGUGAUCUCGAAGUUUCUUGCCCACAAAAGCCGAACGGUGACGCCCCAGACUCGGUUUCUUGGUUCCAUCCCAAAACGCGGAAGAAAGGCACAAUGGCCUAGAAAGGGACGGUCGGACUUGGAACGGGGUCCGUUGCCUCGAAAGUCCACAUCUAGCUACUGGGUGGUCCGAUUCUGAGUGAUCUCGAAGUUUCUUGCCCACAAAAGCCGAACGGUGACGCCUAGACUCGGUUUCUUGGUUUCGUCCCAAAACGCCGAAGAAAGGCACAGUGGCCUAGAAAGGGACGGUCGGACUUGGAACGGGGUCUGAGGCCUCGAAAGUCCACAUCUAGCUACUGGGUGGUCCGAUUCUUUGUGAUCUCGAAGUUUCUUGCCCACAAAAGCCGAACGGUGACGCCCAGACUCGGUUUCUUGGUUCCGUCCCAAAACGCCGAAAAAAGGCACAAUGGCCUAGAAAGGGACGGUCGGACUUGGAACGGGGUCCGAGGCCUCGAAAGUCCACAUCUAGCUACUGGUGGUCCGAUUCUUUGUGAUCUGGAAGUUUCUUGCCCACAAAAGCCGAACGGUGAUGCCCGAGACUCGGUUUCUUGGUUCCGUCCCAAAACGCCGAAGAAAGGCACAAUGGCCUAGAAAUGGACGGUCCGACUCGGAACGGGGUCCGAGGCCUCGAAAGUCCACAUCUAGCUACUGGGUGGUUCGAUUCAGAGUGAUCUCGAAGUUUCUUGCUCACAAAAGCCGAACGGUGACACCCCAGACUCGGUUUCUUGGUUCCGUCCCAAAACGCCGAAGAAAGGCACAAUGGCCUAGAAAGGGACGAUCGGACUUGGAACGGGGUCCGAGGCCUCGAUAGUCCACAUCUAGCUACUAGGUGGUCCGAUUCUUUGUGAUCUUGAAGUUUCUUGCCCACAAAAGCCGAACGGUGACGCCCCAGACUCGGUUUCUUGGUUUCGUCCCAAAACGCCGAAGAAAGGCACAAUGGCCUAGAAAGGGACGGUCGGACUUGGAACGGGGUCCGAGGCCUCGAAAGUCCACAUCUAGCUACUGGGUGGUCCGAUUCUUUGUGAUCUCGAAGUUUCUUGCACACAAAAGCCGAACGGUGACGCCCCAGACUCGGUUUCUUGGUUCCGUCCCAAAACGCCGAAGAAAGGCACAAUGGCCUAGAAAGGGACGGUCGGACUCGGAACGGGGUCCGAGGCCUCGAAAGUCCACAUCUAGCGACUGGGUGGUCCGAUUCAGAGUGAUCUCGAAGUUUCUUGCCCACAAAAGCCAAACGGUGACUCCCCAGACUCGGUUUCUUGGUUCCGUCCCAAAACGCCGAAGAAAGGCACAAUGGCUUAGAAAGGGACGGUCGGACUUGGAACGGGGUCCGAGGCCUCGAAAGUCCACAUCUAGCUACUGGGUGGUCCGAUUCUUUGUGAUCUCGAAGUUUCUUGCCCACAAAAGCCGAACGGUGACGCCCGAGACUCGGUUUCUUGGUUCCGUCCCAAAACGCCGAAGAAAGGCACAAUGGCCUAGAAAGGGACGGUCGGACUUGGAACGGGGUCCGAGGCCUCGAAAGUCCACAUCUAGCGACUGGGUGGUCCAAUUCAGAGUGAUCUCGAAGUUUCUUGCCCACAAAAGCCGAACGGUGACGCCCCAGACUCGGUUUCUUGGUUCCGUCCCAAAACGCCGAAGAAAGGCACAAUGGCCUAGAAAGGGACGGUUGGACUUGGAACGGGGUCCGAGGCCUCGAAAGUCCACAUCUAGCUACUAGGUGGUCCGAUUCUUUGUGAUCUUGAAGUUUCUUGCCCACAAAAGCCUAACGGUGACGCCCCAGACUCGGUUUCUUGGUUUCGUCCCAAAACGCCGAAGAAAGGCACAAUGGCCUAGAAAGGGACGGUCGGACUUGGAACGGGGUCCGAGGCCUCGAAAGUCCACAUCUAGCUACUGGGUGGUCCGAUUCUUUGUGAUCUCGAAGUUUCUUGCCCACAAAAGCCGAACGGUGACGCCCAGACUCGGUUUCUUGGUUCCGUCCCAAAACGCCGAAGAAAGGCACAAUGGCCUAGAAAGGGACGGUCGGACUCGGAACGAGGUCCGAGGACUCGAAAGUCCACAUCUAGCUACUGAGUGGUCCGAUUCUGAGUGAUCUCGAAGUUUCUUGCCCACAAAAGCCGAACGGUGACCCAUACUCGGUUUCUUGUUCCGUCCCAAAACGCCGAAGAAAGGCAAUGGCCUAGAAGGGACGGUCGGACUUGGAACGGGGUCCGAGGCCUCGAAAGUCCACAUCUAGCUACUGGGUGGUCCGAUUCUGAGUGACCUCGUAGUUUCUUGCCCACAAAAGCCGAACGAUGACACCUAGACUCGGUUUCUUGGUUCCGUCCCAAAACGCGGAAGAAAGGCACAAUGGCCUAGGAAGGGACGGUCGGACUUGGAACGGGGUCCGAGGCCUCGAAAGUCCACAUCUAGCUACUGGGUGGUCCGAUUCUUUGUGAUCUCGACGUUUCUUGCCCCAAAAGCCGAACGGUGACGCCCUCGACUCGGUUUCUUGGUUCCGUCAUAAAACGCCGAAGAAUAGCACAAUGGCCUAGAAAAGGGACGGUCGGACUUGGAACGGGGUCCGAGGCCUCGAAUGUCCACAUCUAGCUACUGGGUGGUCCGAUUCUUUUUUAUCUCGAAGUUUCUUGCCCACAAAAGCCGAACAGUGAUGCCCCAGACUCGGUUUCUUGGUUCCGUCCCAAAACGCCGAAGAAAGGCACAAUGGCCUAGAAAAGGGACGGUCGGACUUGGAACGGGUUCCGAGGCCUCGAAAGUCCACAUCUAGCUACUGGGUGGUCCGAUUCUUUGUGAUCUCGAAGUUUCUUGCACACAAAAGCCGAACGGUGACGCCCCAGACUCGGUUUCUUGGUUCCGUCCAAAAUGCCGAAGAAAGGCACAAUGGCCUAGAAAGGGACGGUCGGACUUGGAACGGGGUCCGAGGCCUCAAAAGUCCACAUCUAGCUACUGGGUGGUCCGAUUCUUUGUGAUCUCGAAGUUUCUUGCCCACAAAAGCCGAACGGUGAUGCCCC
rnacentral:lncRNA from 1 species